GAGUCCUUCUGCAGGAGUAUCUGGAGGCUGGAGCCGACAUCAUUGAGACCAACACCUUCAGCAGCACCAGCAUCGCUCAGGCCGACUAUGGCAUGGAGGACCUGGCGUAUCGGCUGAAUAAAGCAUCUGCAGAACUGGCCCGGAGAGCUGCGGAUGAUGUCUCUGCACAGACAGGUUGUAAGCGGUUUGUAGCAGGAGCCGUGGGUCCCACCAAUAAAACGCUGUCAGUGUCUCCAUCGGUGGAGAGACCUGACUACAGGA